rnacentral:rRNA from 1 species
AAAUGACUCUCGGCAACGGAUAUCUCGGCUCUCGCAUCGAUGAAUAACGUAGCAAAAUGCGAUACUUGGUGUGAAUUGCAGAAUCCCGUGAACCAUCGAGUUUUUGAACGCAAGUUGCGCCCGAAGCCUUUUGGCCUGGGCACGUCUGCCUGGGCGUCACAC